CCAGUGUUUUAAAAACCGGACCGGACCGGCCGGUCCGACCGGUUGAACCGGGAAUCGGAGGUGCACCGGUCUGGUCCGGAUGUCGGAUCGGAUAAGCUAUUGAACCAGAGGAAACCGGUAAAACCGGUGAAAACCGGUGAAAACCGGUGAACCGGCGGUUUUGAAAAACCGGCGGGUCAACUGCAUUUUUUUUCUGAACCAAACGACUGUCGUUUUGCUUUUUAGAAAAUAACAGUAAGAAGAUUGGAA
rnacentral:lncRNA from 1 species